CAUGCACUGGUGGGGUCCCUUGGUCUGGCCUGCACCAUCUCAUAAUCCGGGACCCCUCAGGGGAUGUCAGACUGCUGGUUUUGGCCUGACCCCCGCAGGCCAGGCCAAGGGACCCCACCAGUGCAUG
rfam:Myotis brandtii contig278145, whole genome shotgun sequence.